CUAACAUAGUACGCAAAGUCCGUAUUUUUGCGGGGGUUGAGGAGGGGCGCUUGAGAGUUUAAAUAGCCAUGAAUGCUGGUCAGGUUGCCGUUUUGAUGCAUUUCAUGCUGACAAUGUAGCAUUCUAUUGAUCAUAUAAGUAGCUGUUUGCUUGCCUUGAGAGACGGCUGAUUUGCCUCCAGACCGGGUCACUUCUCAUCUUCGAAACUCAGCAUAAACUUCCCUUUUGUUCUGGAAGGAAAACGGUGAUUAAGAUGGUUGGAAUUGCACUCUUGGGAGCGGGUAUCUUUGCAAAAGAAGCCCACGUCCCGGUUCUUGCACAUAAUGAUAAAGCAAAGGUUCUCGCUGUGUACUCGCGUUCGGAGACAUCUGCAAACUCAGUGGUGGAGGCACUACACAGCACCAGCACGGCUGGAACCUCUGCUACCCUCGAUGUAUAUUCUGAUGAGAAGCCCGGGUAUGGGCUUGACGAGCUUCUCCAGCGCGCCGACAUCG
rnacentral:sRNA from 1 species